rnacentral:rRNA from 1 species
UAACGCCCCGAACUUAAGCAUAUCAGUAAGGGCAGGAGAAGAAACCAACUGGGAUUCCACUAGUAGCGGCGAGUGAACAUGGAUGAGCUCUGAUGGUAAAGUGCAGUGCACUGUUGUAAGAGCCGUGUAUGCCUAGACGCGCAUGAAUGCGUGGCCUUUGCGAGUGAGAGCCUCGGCAGGCAGCAGCACGGCGGUAGAGUGAGUAGCGUUGCUUGGUAGUGCAAUGUGAAGAGGAGGUAGUAACUUCUAAAGCUAAAUAUCGCCAGAGACCGAUAGCAAAUAAGUAGCGCGAGCGAAGUGUGAAAAACGUCAUGUGGACUGUGAAAAGUGAAAAUACCAGGCGUAAGCCGAG